rnacentral:rRNA from 1 species
UACGUAGGGGGCAAGCGUUGUCCGGAUUUAUUGGGCGUAAAGGGCGCGUAGGCGGCCUGUUAAGUCGAACGUGAAAUCCCUGGGCUUAACCCAGGAACUGCGUCCGAUACUGGCAGGCUUGAAUCCGGGAGAGGGAUGCGGAAUUCCAGGUGUAGCGGUGAAAUGCGUAGAUAUCUGGAGGAACACCGGUGGCGAAGGCGGCAUCCUGGACCGGUAUUGACGCUGAGGCGCGAAAGCCAGGGGAGCAAACGGG